ensembl:lncRNA
CCUCGUGCCACCAUCUCUGCUUUGUCAGGUACACAAUCUGCUCAGGCUUCGGAAUUUCUCGGCACCUACCUGUAGUGUGGGACACUUGGUUUGGUUGCAGAGUCUGAAGGUGGAAGAAUGAGCUGUAUUUGGUUAAGCAGUUCUAACCCUUUUUGAGCAGGAUUUAUAAAAGCAUAAGUGAAUGUGUUUCACCCCCGUGGAUUCCAGUGGGCCCGACAGCGCAACAGUGCCUUGGCAACUUGAUGCAUAUGGAACCAACACCAAGUGAUUUGACAUAAGAAAUACUCACGAUGUGAUGUUCAAUCUCAAACAAAGUUGGAAAUUCCAAAGAGAAGUUGUGUUAUUGCUAGUCAGAGUGAAGAUGGGAGAAAAUGACAUACCUGC